AUUGAACGCUGGCGGCAGGCCUAACACAUGCAAGUCGAGCGGAUGAAGGGAGCUUGCUCCUGGAUUCAGCGGCGGACGGGUGAGUAAUGCCUAGGAAUCUGCCUGGUAGUGGGGGAUAACGUCCGGAAACGGGCGCUAAUACCGCAUACGUCCUGAGGGAGAAAGUGGGGGAUCUUCGGACCUCACGCUCUCAGAUGAGCCUAGGUCGGAUUAGCUAGUUGGUGGGGUAAAGGCCUACCAAGGCGACGAUCCGUAACUGGUCUGAGAGGAUGAUCAGUCACACUGGAACUGAGACACGGUCCAGACUCCUACGGGAGGCAGCAGUGGGGAAUAUUGGACAAUGGGCGAAAGCCUGAUCCAACCGUGCCGCGUGUGUGAAGAAGGUCUUCGGAUUGUAAAGCACUUUAAGUUGGGAGGAAGGGCAGUAAGUUAAUACCUUGCUGUUUUGACGUUACCAACAGAAUAAGCACCGGCUAACUUCGUG
rnacentral:rRNA from 1 species